GACGAACGCUGGCGGCGUGCUUAACACAUGCAAGUCGAACGGAAAGGCCCUGCUUUUGUGGGGUGCUCGAGUGGCGAACGGGUGAGUAACACGUGAGUAACCUGCCCUUGACUUUGGGAUAACUUCAGGAAACUGGGGCUAAUACCGGAUAGGAGCUCCUGCUGCAUGGUGGGGGUUGGAAAGUUUCGGCGGUUGGGGAUGGACUCGCGGCUUAUCAGCUUGUUGGUGGGGUAGUGGCUUACCAAGGCUUUGACGGGUAGCCGGCCUGAGAGGGUGACCGGCCACAUUGGGACUGAGAUACGGCCCAGAAUCCUACGGGAGGCAGCAGUGGGGAAUAUUGCACAAUGGGCGGAAGCCUGAUGCAGCAACGCCGCGUGCGGGAUGACGGCCUUCGGGUUGUAAACCGCUUUCGCCUGUGACGAAGCGUGAGUGACGGUAAUGGGUAAAGAAGCACCGGCUAAAUACGUG
rnacentral:rRNA from 1 species